AACGAACGCUGGCGGCAUGCCUAACACAUGCAAGUCGAACGAGACCUUCGGGUCUAGUGGCGCACGGGUGCGUAACGCGUGGGAACCUGCCCUUAGGUUCGGAAUAACUCCCCGAAAGGGGUGCUAAUACCGGAUAAUGUCUUCGGACCAAAGAUUUAUCGCCUUUGGAUGGGCCCGCGUUGGAUUAGCUAGUUGGUAGGGUAAAAGCCUACCAAGGCGACGAUCCAUAGCUGGUCUGAGAGGAUGAUCAGCCACACUGGGACUGAGACACGGCCCAGACCCCUACGGGAGGCAGGAGUGGGGAAUAUUGGAAAAGGGGCGAAAGCCUGAUCCAGCAAGGCCGGGUGAGGGAGGAAGGCCUUAGGGUUGUAAAGCUCUUUUACCCGGGAUGAUAAUGACAGUACCGGGAGAAUAAGCCCCGGCUAACUCCGU
rnacentral:rRNA from 1 species